GCUUGCUACCUGACCUAGCGGCGGACGGGUGAGUAAUGCUUAGGAAUCUGCCUAUUAGUGGGGGACAACAUUCCGAAAGGAAUGCUAAUACCGCAUACGCCCUACGGGGGAAAGCGGGGGAUCUUCGGACCUUGCGCUAAUAGAUGAGCCUAAGUCAGAUUAGCUAGUUGGUGGGGUAAAGGCCUACCAAGGCGACGAUCUGUAGCGGGUCUGAGAGGAUGAUCCGCCACACUGGGACUGAGACACAGCCCAGACUCCUACGGGAGGCAGCAGUGGGGAAUAUUGGACAAUGGGCGAAAGCCUGAUCCAGCCAUGCCGCGUGUGUGAAGAAGGCCUUUUGGUUGUAAAGCACUUUAAGCGAGGAGGAGGCUACUUGGAUUAAUACUCUAGGAUAGUGGACGUUACUCGCAGAAUAAGCACCGGCUAACUCUGUGCCAGCAGCCGCGGUAAUACAGAGGGUGCGAGCGUUAAUCGGAUUUACUGGGCGUAAAGCGUGCGUAGGCGGCUUUUUAAGUCGGAUGUGAAAUCCCUGAGCUUAACUUAGGAAUUGCAUUCGAUACUGGGAAGCUAGAGUAUGGGAGAGGAUGGUAGAAUUCCAGGUGUAGCGGUGAAAUGCGUAGAGAUCUGGAGGAAUACCGAUGGCGAAGGCAGCCAUCUGGCCUAAUACUGACGCUGAGGUACGAAAGCAUGGGGAGCAAACAGGAUUAGAUACCCUGGUAGUCCAUGCCGUAAACGAUGUCUACUAGCCGUUGGGGCCUUUGAGGCUUUAGUGGCGCAGCUAACGCGAUAAGUAGACCGCCUGGGGAGUACGGUCGCAAGACUAAAACUCAAAUGAAUUGACGGGGGCCCGCACAAGCGGUGGAGCAUGUGGUUUAAUUCGAUGCAACGCGAAGAACCUUACCUGGUCUUGACAUAGUAAGAACUUUCCAGAGAUGGAUUGGUGCCUUCGGGAACUUACAUACAGGUGCUGCAUGGCUGUCGUCAGCUCGUGUCGUGAGAUGUUGGGUUAAGUCCCGCAACGAGCGCAACCCUUUUCCUUAUUUGCCAGCACUUCGGGUGGGAACUUUAAGGAUACUGCCAGUGACAAACUGGAGGAAGGCGGGGACGACGUCAAGUCAUCAUGGCCCUUACGACCAGGGCUACACACGUGCUACAAUGGUCGGUACAAAGGGUUGCUACCUAGCGAUAGGAUGCUAAUCUCAAAAAGCCGAUCGUAGUCCGGAUUGGAGUCUGCAACUCGACUCCAUGAAGUC
rnacentral:rRNA from 1 species